AUGGACAAGUUAUUGUGUGGCAUGAAGAGUGAGUACACCAAGGUAUUUGACUACCAAUUAGAGUUGCUUAGGAGCAACCCUGGCAGUACAGUGGCUGUUUGCUUGGAUCCUACACAUAUGGAGAACAAUGUUUUUCAGCAAUUCUAUGUAUGUUUUCAUGCACUGAAGCAAGGGUUUAAAGCUGGUUGCAGGAAAGUCAUUGGGCUUGAUGGAUGCUUUUUCAAAGGAGCAUGCCAAGGUGAACUACUUGCUGCCAUAGCUAGGGAUGCUAACAACCAGAUGUAUCCUGUUGCAUGGGCAGUAGUGGAGAAAGAAACAACUGAUAGCUGGAAGUGGUUCAUUGGGCUUCUAAUAAAAGACUUGGACAUUAAUAAUGAAGGAGCUGGAUGGGUUUUCAUUUCUGACCAGCAAAAGGGGUUGCUUAACAGUGUGAGAGAUUACUUGCCUAGGGCAGAGCAUAGGAUGUGUGCUAGGCAUAUAUAUGCCAAUUGGAGAAAGAAGCAUAGAGAUCAUGAAUUGCAGAAAAGGUUCUGGGCAAUUGCUAAGUCUAGCAACAAGGAGGAUUUCAACUAUAACAAGGCUAGGCUAGCUCAAAAAACUCCAGAAGGUGCCAAAGACAUCAUGAGAACAGAGCCUAAGCAUUGGGCUAGGUCAUUUUUUCUAGUUGGAGCAAACUGUGAGUCUGUUGAUAAUAACCUCUGCGAGUCAUUCAACAAUGCCAUUUUAGAAGCAAGGUACUACCCUAUCAUUCACAGCAAGAGAAGAUAA
rnacentral:rRNA from 1 species